AAGGGCCCUAAAUUGAAGCGGUGUUUUUAAAAACCCACCGCUUCAAUUUAAGGCCUCCAUUUCGUCUACACACGCCUGAAGUAACCUUAUUCUCUGGGCACAUUACUAGAUCAUAGCAACCACUAGCAGUAAUUGAUAGCAAAGAGCCAAGAACAGGUGUAUGCUGACCUUCCUUUUUGGAUAGUUUAAGGAGCCAUUAGGUGUGACCAUAGCAUGAAAGCUUGCACUUCACUCUGGCUAGAGGACUCAAGGUUUGCAGGCUGUCAAUUUGCAUUGUUCAUAAGCACUAAAUACACUUAACUGUAUUGUGGAAGUAGUUGUACAUGAAGGGAUGAUAUUGGGUUAUGGUAUCUCUAGGACCAAACAGUAACUUUUCCGUAUGACUUACUAGUCUUGCAAAAUGCCCAGUUAGUCAAAAUAACCAUGAAGCAGCCUGUAUGAUGAUGUUGGUAUGGGCCUCUCCUCUUUUAAUAAUGAUGAAUUCUUGAGAGUUUUUUUUUGCUGGAAGCUAUGGAAUUUUUUCAGUGUUACCAUAAAAAAUUGUUUACUUGUCAAGCACAUAUUCUUAUACUCUUAAGACGGGGGAAGAAGAGCUUUUAUAAUGUAUCAAGAUUUUUCCUUCUCUCCUGAAGUAUCUUGAAAAAUAAAAGCUAAUAUUUUAGUUCCCCAAACUGUUGCUAGUAGCAGUCCUUAAUAAAUAAAACAUUAAGAACAUUUUGGCUUGCAGGAAGGGUCAAACUAACUUGUCUUAUAUCUUGAAGUCUCUCUUUUCAGGAAGGAAACCUAUUCUGAAGUCAAAUCGAUAAACCAAGCCAUCAGAUGACAUAAUUGUACUUUAUUGUGCUGCUCCAUAGACCUGCUUCUCUGUGUAUUGCAAGCCUAACCUUGUUGCUUCUGUUUACAUUGUAGAAAACGGUUCUAGCAAUGAGUUGGUUUUUUUUUUCAUUUAACUCUAAGCAUCUUUUUAUUUUGUUUAACUCUAAAAUGAUAAGGUUUUGCUAUGUUAUGUUUUUUAAGGGUAUUUUGCAUACUGCUGCUCAUAUUUCAAUAAACAUGAAAAAUCUCCUUUCGGUAUGAUUUUUUUCCCCCUAGUUUGCUGUAUCUGUAAUUCAGUAUGUGCCUCAAUUAAAUGUAUUUAAAUGUCUGUACGGGCCUUUUCCAAAGUGUAGUUUUGUGUUCUACAAAAGUACAAUGACUUGAACUCUAUGCUUGUAACUGUCGCUACUGAUGCUUUAUGCUAUCAUUCUUUACGGAUGUGUGAAAGGGAAAUUCUAUUUCUUGC